CAAUAGCGUAUAUUAAAGUUGUUGCGGUUAAAAGCUCGUAGUUGGAUUUCUGCCGAGGACGACCGGUCCGCCUCUGGGUGAGUAUCUGGCUUGGCCUGGGCAUCUUCUUGGAGAACGUAGCUGCACUUGACUGUGUGGUGCGGUAUCCAGGACUUUUACUUUUGAGGAAAUUAGAGUGUUUCAAGCAGGCAUGCGCCUUGAAUACAUUAGCAUGGAAUAAUAAGAUAGGACCUCGGUUCUAUUUUGUUGGUUUCUAGUACUGAAGUAAUGAUUGAUAGGGAUAGUUGGGGUGCUAGUAUUGGCCGGCCAGAGGUGAAAUUCUUGGAUUCGGUCAAGACUAACUUAUGCGAAAGCAUUUGCCAAGGAUGUUUUCAUUGAUCAAGAACGAAAGUUAGGGGAUCGAAGACGAUUAGAUACC
rnacentral:rRNA from 1 species